rnacentral:rRNA from 1 species
CGCGUAGGUGGUAGUGCAAGUCUGGGGUGGAAUCCUAUGGCUUAACCAUAGAAUUGCCUUGGAAACUGUAUUACUUGAGUCAGUGAGGGGAGGGUAGAAUUCCUGGUGUAGCGGUGAAAUGCGUAGAUAUCAGGAGGAAGGCCUGUGGCGAAGGCGGCCCUCUGGCGCUGAACUGACACUGAGGCGCGAAAGCGUGGGGAGCAAACAGGAUUAGAUACCCUGGUAGUCCACGCCCUAAACGGUGGGUACUAGGUGUAGGGCUCGUAAGGGUUCUGUGCCGAAGCGAAAGCAUUAACGUACCCCGCCUGGGGAGUACGGGCCGCGAAGGUUGAAA